GGUUAAGCGACUAAGCGUACACGGUGGAUGCCCUGGCAGUCAGAGGCGAUGAAGGACGUGCUAAUCUGCGAUAAGCGUCGGUAAGGUGAUAUGAACCGUUAUAACCGGCGAUUUCCGAAUGGGGAAACCCAGUGUGUUUCGACACACUAUCAUUAACUGAAUCCAUAGGUUAAUGAGGCGAACCGGGGGAACUGAAACAUCUAAGUACCCCGAGGAAAAGAAAUCAACCGAGAUUCCCCCAGUAGCGGCGAGCGAACGGGGAGCAGCCCAGAGCCUGAAUCAGUGUGUGUGUUAGUGGAAGCGUCUGGAAAGGCGCGCGAUACAGGGUGACAGCCCCGUACACAAAAAUGCACAUGCUGUGAGCUCGAUGAGUAGGGCGGGACACGUGGUAUCCUGUCUGAAUAUGGGGGGACCAUCCUCCAAGGCUAAAUACUCCUGACUGACCGAUAGUGAACCAGUACCGUGAGGGAAAGGCGAAAAGAACCCCGGCGAGGGGAGUGAAAAAGAACCUGAAACCGUGUACGUACAAGCAGUGGGAGCACGCUUAGGCGUGUGACUGCGUACCUUUUGUAUAAUGGGUCAGCGACUUAUAUUCUGUAGCAAGGUUAACCGAAUAGGGGAGCCGAAGGGAAACCGAGUCUUAACUGGGCGUUAAGUUGCAGGGUAUAGACCCGAAACCCGGUGAUCUAGCCAUGGGCAGGUUGAAGGUUGGGUAACACUAACUGGAGGACCGAACCGACUAAUGUUGAAAAAUUAGCGGAUGACUUGUGGCUGGGGGUGAAAGGCCAAUCAAACCGGGAGAUAGCUGGUUCUCCCCGAAAGCUAUUUAGGUAGCGCCUCGUGAAUUCAUCUCCGGGGGUAGAGCACUGUUUCGGCAAGGGGGUCAUCCCGACUUACCAACCCGAUGCAAACUGCGAAUACCGGAGAAUGUUAUCACGGGAGACACACGGCGGGUGCUAACGUCCGUCGUGAAGAGGGAAACAACCCAGACCGCCAGCUAAGGUCCCAAAGUCAUGGUUAAGUGGGAAACGAUGUGGGAAGGCCCAGACAGCCAGGAUGUUGGCUUAGAAGCAGCCAUCAUUUAAAGAAAGCGUAAUAGCUCACUGGUCGAGUCGGCCUGCGCGGAAGAUGUAACGGGGCUAAACCAUGCACCGAAGCUGCGGCAGCGACGCUUAUGCGUUGUUGGGUAGGGGAGCGUUCUGUAAGCCUGCGAAGGUGUGCUGUGAGGCAUGCUGGAGGUAUCAGAAGUGCGAAUGCUGACAUAAGUAACGAUAAAGCGGGUGAAAAGCCCGCUCGCCGGAAGACCAAGGGUUCCUGUCCAACGUUAAUCGGGGCAGGGUGAGUCGACCCCUAAGGCGAGGCCGAAAGGCGUAGUCGAUGGGAAACAGGUUAAUAUUCCUGUACUUGGUGUUACUGCGAAGGGGGGACGGAGAAGGCUAUGUUGGCCGGGCGACGGUUGUCCCGGUUUAAGCGUGUAGGCUGGUUUUCCAGGCAAAUCCGGAAAAUCAAGGCUGAGGCGUGAUGACGAGGCACUACGGUGCUGAAGCAACAAAUGCCCUGCUUCCAGGAAAAGCCUCUAAGCAUCAGGUAACAUCAAAUCGUACCCCAAACCGACACAGGUGGUCAGGUAGAGAAUACCAAGGCGCUUGAGAGAACUCGGGUGAAGGAACUAGGCAAAAUGGUGCCGUAACUUCGGGAGAAGGCACGCUGAUAUGUAGGUGAGGUCCCUCGCGGAUGGAGCUGAAAUCAGUCGAAGAUACCAGCUGGCUGCAACUGUUUAUUAAAAACACAGCACUGUGCAAACACGAAAGUGGACGUAUACGGUGUGACGCCUGCCCGGUGCCGGAAGGUUAAUUGAUGGGGUUAGCGCAAGCGAAGCUCUUGAUCGAAGCCCCGGUAAACGGCGGCCGUAACUAUAACGGUCCUAAGGUAGCGAAAUUCCUUGUCGGGUAAGUUCCGACCUGCACGAAUGGCGUAAUGAUGGCCAGGCUGUCUCCACCCGAGACUCAGUGAAAUUGAACUCGCUGUGAAGAUGCAGUGUACCCGCGGCAAGACGGAAAGACCCCGUGAACCUUUACUAUAGCUUGACACUGAACAUUGAGCCUUGAUGUGUAGGAUAGGUGGGAGGCUUAGAAGUGUGGACGCCAGUCUGCAUGGAGCCGACCUUGAAAUACCACCCUUUAAUGUUUGAUGUUCUAACGUUGACCCGUAAUCCGGGUUGCGGACAGUGUCUGGUGGGUAGUUUGACUGGGGCGGUCUCCUCCUAAAGAGUAACGGAGGAGCACGAAGGUUGGCUAAUCCUGGUCGGACAUCAGGAGGUUAGUGCAAUGGCAUAAGCCAGCUUGACUGCGAGCGUGACGGCGCGAGCAGGUGCGAAAGCAGGUCAUAGUGAUCCGGUGGUUCUGAAUGGAAGGGCCAUCGCUCAACGGAUAAAAGGUACUCCGGGGAUAACAGGCUGAUACCGCCCAAGAGUUCAUAUCGACGGCGGUGUUUGGCACCUCGAUGUCGGCUCAUCACAUCCUGGGGCUGAAGUAGGUCCCAAGGGUAUGGCUGUUCGCCAUUUAAAGUGGUACGCGAGCUGGGUUUAGAACGUCGUGAGACAGUUCGGUCCCUAUCUGCCGUGGGCGCUGGAGAACUGAGGGGGGCUGCUCCUAGUACGAGAGGACCGGAGUGGACGCAUCACUGGUGUUCGGGUUGUCAUGCCAAUGGCACUGCCCGGUAGCUAAAUGCGGAAGAGAUAAGUGCUGAAAGCAUCUAAGCACGAAACUUGCCCCGAGAUGAGUUCUCCCUGACUCCUUGAGAGUCCUGAAGGAACGUUGAAGACGACGACGUUGAUAGGCCGGGUGUGUAAGCGCAGCGAUGCGUUGAGCUAACCGGUACUAAUGAACCGUGAGGCUUAACCUU
rnacentral:rRNA from 1 species